rnacentral:rRNA from 1 species
GAACGGCAGCACGGGUGCUUGCACCUGGUGGCGAGUGGCGAACGGGUGAGUAAUGUAUCGGAACGUAUCCGGAAAUGGGGGAUAACGUAGCGAAAGUUACGCUAAUACCGCAUAUGCCCUGAGGGGGAAAGGUGGGGAUCGCAAGACCUAUCGUUUUCGGAGCGGCCGAUAUCAGAUUAGCUAGUUGGUGGGGUAAAGGCCUACCAAGGCGACGAUCUGUAGCUGGUCUGAGAGGACGACCAGCCACACUGGGACUGAGACACGGCCCAGACUCCUACGGGAGGCAGCAGUGGGGAAUUUUGGACAAUGGGGGCAACCCUGAUCCAGCCAUGCCGCGUGAGUGAAGAAGGCCUUCGGGUUGUAAAGCUCUUUCAGACGGAAAGAAAUCGUGCGGGCUAAUAUCCUGUAUGGAUGACGGUACCGUCAGAAGAAGCACCGGCUAACUACGUGCCAGCAGCCGCGGUAAUACGUAGGGUGCGAGCGUUAAUCGGAAUUACUGGGCGUAAAGCGUGCGCAGGCGGUUUUGUAAGACAGAUGUGAAAUCCCCGGGCUUAACCUGGGAACUGCAUUUGUGACUGCAAGGCUAGAGUGCGGCAGAGGGGGGUAGAAUUCCGCGUGUA